rnacentral:rRNA from 1 species
UGGCGGCGUGCUUAACACAUGCAAGUCGAACGAGAAAGCGAACCCCGGUUCGUGAGUAGAGUGGCGCACGGGUGAGUAAUACGUAGAUAAUCUACCUUUGAAUUUGGGAUAAGGCUGCGAAAGUGAUGCUAAUACCGAAUAACAUUGAUAAGACCUUGGUUUUGUUAAUCAAAGAUGGCCAAUUCUUGAAAGCUAUUGUUUGAAGAUGAGUCUACGCACCAUUAGCUUGUUGGUGGGGUAAAAGCCUACCAAGGCGACGAUGGUUAGCUGGUCUGAGAGGAUGAUCAGCCACACUGGAACUGACACACGGUCCAGACUCCUACGGGAGGCAGCAGUGAGGAAUUUUGCGCAAUGGGGGCAACCCUGACGCAGCAACGCCGCGUGA